UACGGAGGGGGCGAGCGUUAUUCGGAAUUAUUGGGCGUAAAGGGCGCGUAGGCGGCUCGAUAAGUCAAAGGUGAAAUCCCUCGGCUCAACUGAGGAACUGCCUUUGAAACUGUAGAGCUUGAGUCCGGGAGGGGGUAGCGGAAUUCCCAGUGUAGCGGUGAAAUGCGUAGAUAUUGGGAGGAACACCAGUGGCGAAGGCGGCUACCUGGACCGGAACUGACGCUGAGGCGCGAAAGCGUGGGGAGCAAACAGG
rnacentral:rRNA from 1 species